UACGAAGGGGGCUAGCGUUGUUCGGAAUUACUGGGCGUAAAGCGCGCGCAGGCGGUCUUCCAAGUCAGUGGUGAAAGCCUGGAGCUCAACUCCAGAACUGCCAUUGAAACUGUUAGACUUGAGUACGAGAGAGGUGAGUGGAAUUCCCAGUGUAGAGGUGAAAUUCGUAGAUAUUCGGAAGAACACCAGUGGCGAAGGCGGCUCACUGGACUGGUAUUGACGCUGAUGUGCGAAAGCGUGGGGGAGCAAACAGG
rnacentral:rRNA from 1 species